UAGGGAAUAUUGCUUAAUGGGCGAAAGCCUGAAGCAGCAACGCCGCGUGGACGAAGAAGGCCUUCGGGUUGUAAAGUUCUUUUAUAUGGGAUGAGGAAGGACAGUACCAUAUGAAUAAGUCUCGGCUAACUACGUGCCAGCAGCCGCGGUAAAACGUAGGAGACGAGCGUUAUCCGGAUUUACUGGGCGUAAAGAGCGUGUAGGAGGCAAUACAAGUUGGAUGUAAAAGCUCUCGGCUAAACUGAGAGAGGACGUUCAAGACUGUAGAGCUAGAGGAAGGCAGAGGUAGAUGGAACUCCGGGAGUAGGGGUGAAAUGCGUAGAUAUCCGGAAGAACACCAGAGGCGAAAGCGAUCUACUGGGCCUUAACAGACACUGAGACGCGAAAGCCAGGGUAGCAAACGG
rnacentral:rRNA from 1 species